GAUGAACGCUAGCGGCAGGCCUAACACAUGCAAGUCGAGGGGCAUCAUAGUCUAGUUCGCUAGACGGGUGGCGACCGGCGCACGGGUGCGUAACGCGUAUGUAACCUACCAUUGACAGGGGGAUAGUCAGAGGAAACUUUGAAUAAUACCGCAUAACAUAUAUAAGAGGCAUCUUUUGUAUAUCAAAAUUACGAUGGUCAAUGAUGGGCAUGCGUUUGAUUAGAUAGUUGGUAAGGUAACGGCUUACCAAGUCGACGAUCAAUAGGGGUUCUGAGAGGAUAAUCCCCCCACACUGGUACUGAGAUACGGACCAGACUCCUACGGGAGGCAGCAGUGAGGAAUAUUGGGCAAUGGACGGAAGUCUGACCCAGCCAUGCCGCGUGCAGGAAGACGGCCCUAUGGGUUGUAAACUGCCUUUUUAGAGGAAUAAUAAGUCUCACGUGUGGGACGAUGAAUGUACCUGGAGAAAAAGC
rnacentral:rRNA from 1 species